GACGAACGCUGGCGGCGUGCUUAACACAUGCAAGUCGAGCGGUAAGGCCCUUUCGGGGGUACGACGAGCGGCGAACGGGUGAGUAACACGUGGGUGACCUGCCCUCAGCGUCUGGGAUGAGCCUGGGAAACCGGGUCUAAUACUGGGAUAUGACUCCAUGACGCAUGUUGUGGGGUGGAAAGCCUUGUGCGGCUGAGGAUGGGCCCGCGGCCUACCAGCUUGUUGG
rnacentral:rRNA from 1 species